GCCGCCGUAACGUAGCCUGGUUAGCGUACAGGCCUGUGGAGCCUGGAGGGCGAGUUCGAAUCUCGCCGGCGGCC
rnacentral:tRNA from 1 species